UCCGAAUUGGUGUAGUGGCUAACAUUCGGGAUUCUCGUUCCUGAGCCCGGGGUUCGAUUCCCCGAUUCGGAA